GAAUACCAAAACUGGACAACAUUUUCAUGAAAGCACCAACACAACCUUCAAUAACGAUGCCUGCUCCGCUCACGGUCUCGGUCACGGCCAUAUUCUCUGUCUCGAUCAUAGUCGUAGGAGCGGUCUCUGUCUCUUCCCCUAUCCCUCUCUCUGCUUCUGCUCCGGUGCCUAGAUCUCUCUCUCUCAUCAUAAUCUCUUGAUCUUUCUCUGCUUCUCUCCUUUCUAUCUCGGUCAGCCACACCUGCCAAAUUAAAGAGUAAUCAGUCAGGAACACUUUGGUCUUCCAUCAAUUACGUUUCAGAAGCACGCUAAGCGCUUUCAUAUGGAAUCUCUUGAGGCUCAGGUGUAAACGGUUCAUCAAGCUAAAAGAAGGUGGCAACUAGUGAGGACCAACACCCGAAAGAACUGGGCAUCUUUUAAUCAGAUAAAGAAGAUUUUAGUAAGGUUUUAGUGCCCCCACUUGUAUGAAACUCCAACUUAUGCCCCUCUUUCGUUGAACUCAGCACAGAAACUCACAUGGUUUAUCCAAGCUCUUCCCUUCCAAUUGUUGAUGCCCAUACUAAAACACAGAAAAUUUAACGACGAAUUGCAUAAUGCUUCCUCACAUGCUAUUGGAGGUUAGAUGCUGGCUAUGUGAGGGUAGAAAGGUAAUUCUACCACUCUCUUUUGUAACCAGUUUAGGCAAUAACAUGGUGCUCAUCUAACAUUAGAAACAAGCACGCGAGGGGAUCAGAAAACAAUGGAGAUAAGUCAAAGCUUUGCAUCUUUAUUUAUAUCCAACACAACCAAGGCUGAAAUGUAAUAUGCAGUCUCUAUCCCAUCGUAAUGACCUGCUGUGGUGGCUCAAGACAUCAAUAAUUCCAUUUUCUAGUCAUAUCAAUAAUUAACAGCUAUAUAUGCUUUGAAUUCACUGCUAUGUCAUCGUAUCAUCUUCUAAGACGCUCCAAGAUCCAAACUCAUCUAAAUCAGCUAAAGCAAAGUAACCAAACUUCCUACAAUUGAGCAUUAGAACCAGAACGAGGAAAAUAAAAGAAAUUGAAAUAAGAUUUUAACAAAGAAUUUUAUUUCAACGAAGAUUAUACAUAGGUAAGAGAAUCAACUUAACCUUCAUCACCCAAAGGCCUCGAUUAGAACACCAGAAGCCAGUAACAGACAGCUCCAGCACUAGUGGGUGCCGUUUCAAACUCCAUUGUGGGAAUUUCCUAUUACCCUCCUCUCAAGCAGUGGUUCCUCAGCUGACCACACUAACAUUCUUCCAAUGGCAUGUAAGGGAAAAAUUCUUGGUUAAGUUUGUAGCUUUUAGUGAAGGUCUUUAGCAAUUGUUGAGCCAAAACCUCCUUUAAUAAUCUGCCUAACAAGAAUAUUACUACUAGUUGACUACGCCUUAAUCCCAAAACUGGGUGGAUAGGAUCAAGCCAACCAAUCUUGCGGACACUAGCUGAAAUCCGUCUACUAAAUGAACCAGUCUGAUCCACUAGACAAUGCCUUUAAGACAAAUUAUACAAGAUGCAUAGAACUUUUAAACUCCAGCAAAUACUGCUUGCUGACACACCUAGGAAUACUAUGGAGUCUGGUUGAUACUGUAGAAGCUGGGUGGAAAACAUAGACAGAGAAAAUGAAGAACCUUAAAUCCUUCAUUAUGGACAACACAUACAACAAAACUAUUGCCCCUACCUAAUUCCUCAGCUUCCCAUCCAGCGCGUCCUACUCCAGGGGGGAGGCUCUGGGCUGCUUCUGCUCGCUGCAUUUUAGCACGAAACUUCUUUUUCAG
rnacentral:lncRNA from 1 species